rnacentral:rRNA from 1 species
UACAGAGGUCUCAAGCGUUGUUCGGAUUCAUUGGGCGUAAAGGGUGCGUAGGUGGCGCUGUAAGUCGGGUGUGAAAUUUCGGAGCUUAACUCCGAAACUGCAUUCGAUACUGCGGUGCUUGAGGACUGGAGAGGAGACUGGAAUUCAUGGUGUAGCAGUGAAAUGCGUAGAGAUCAUGAGGAACACCGGUGGCGAAGGCGGGUCUCUGGGCAUUUCCUGACGCUGAGGCGCGAAAGCGUGGGGAGCAAACGGG